CAAGACCUGCGCUUUUGGAGCGGCCGAUGCCUGAUUAGCUUGUUGGUAAGGUAAAAGCUUACCAAGGCUUCGAUCAGUAGCUGGUCUGAGAGGACGACCAGCCACACUGGGACUGAGACACGGCCCAGACUCCUACGGGAGGCAGCAGUGGGGAAUUUUGGACAAUGGGGGCAACCCUGAUCCAGCCAUGCCGCGUGAGUGAAGAAGGCCUUCGGGUUGUAAAGCUCUUUCAGCCGGAACGAAACGGUCACGGCUAAUACCUGUGACUACUGACGGUACCGGAAGAAGAAGCACCGGCUAACUACGUGCCAGCAGCCGCGGUAAUACGUAGGGUGCGAGCGUUAAUCGGAAUUACUGGGCGUAAAGCGUGCGCAGGCGGUUUUGUAAGUCAGAUGUGAAAUCCCCGGGCUUAACCUGGGAACU
rnacentral:rRNA from 1 species